GGUAUUUUGACCGUGCAAAGGUAGCAUAAUCAUUAGUUUUUUAAUUGAAAGCUGGAAUGAAAGGUUGGAUGAGAAAUAAGCUGUCUCUGUUUAAUUUUAUUAGAAUUUUAUUUUUAAGUAAAAAAGCUUAAAUUUUGAUAGAAGACGAGAAGACCCUAUAGAGUUUUAUUUAUUUUUUAAAUAAAAUUAAUAGUAUUAAUUAUUUUUAUUUAAUAUAUAAAUUUAAUUGGGGUGAUUGAAAAAUUUAAUAAACUUUUUUUGUAUAUAUACAUUGAUAUAUGGUUAAUUGAUCCUUAAUUUAAGAUUAAAAGAUAAAAUUACCUUAGGGAUAACAGCGUAAUUUUUUUUAAGAGUUCAAAUCGAAAAAAAAGAUUGCGACCUCGAUGUUGGAUUAAAAUAAAAUUUUGGUGUAGAAGCUAAAA
rnacentral:rRNA from 1 species